rnacentral:rRNA from 1 species
CAGUCGCCGCGGGAAUACGAAGGGGGCUAGCGUUGUUCGGAAUUACUGGGCGUAAAGCGCACGUAGGCGGACAUUUAAGUCAGGGGUGAAAUCCCGGGGCUCAACCCCGGAACUGCCUUUGAUACUGGGUGUCUUGAGUAUGGAAGAGGUAAGUGGAAUUGCGAGUGUAGAGGUGAAAUUCGUAGAUAUUCGCAGGAACACCAGUGGCGAAGGCGGCUUACUGGUCCAUUACUGACGCUGAGGUGCGAAAGCGUGGGGAGCAAACAGGAUUAGAUACCCGUGUAGUCCCUGUCUCUUAUAC